rnacentral:rRNA from 1 species
UACAGAGGGGGCUAGCGUUGUUCGGAAUCACUGGGCGUAAAGGGCGCGUAGGCGGGAUGGCAAGUCGGUCGUGAAAUCUCUCGGCUCAACCGAGAAACGUCGGCCGAUACUGCCGUUCUUGAGGGAUGCAGAGGAGACUGGAAUUCCCGGUGUAGCGGUGAAAUGUGUAGAGAUCGGGAGGAACACCGGUGGCGAAGGCGGGUCUCUGGGCAUUUCCUGACGCUGAGGCGCGAAAGCGUGGGGAGCAAACGGG